CGCAUCUGUGCAUGCAGCAUAUCAAUAAGCGGAGGAAAAGAAACUAACAAGGAUUCCCUUAGUAACGGCGAGUGAAGCGGGAAGAGCUCAAAUUUGAAAUCUUCAAGGUUUUACCUUGACGAAUUGUAGUUUAAAGAAGUGUUUUCUGUUGAAGUUUUGGUAAAAGUUCUUUGGAAUAGGACAUCAUAGAGGGUGAGAAUCCCGUAUUUGACCAUUAUUUUCAGCUGUGUGAUACACUUUCAAAGAGUCGGAUUGUUUGGGAAUGCAGUCCAAAAUGGGUGGUAAAUUUCAUCUAAAGCUAAAUAUUGGCGAGAGACCGAUAGCGAACAAGUACCGUGAGGGAAAGAUGAAAAGAACUUUGAAAAGAGAGUUAAACAGUACGUGAAAUUGUCAAAAGGGAAGCGUUUGACACCAGUGUUGUUUUCUCGAAAAUCAAUUAAAAAGAGUUUGAUUUUGUUGUGUAUUGACCUUAACAGCUUGCAUUUCAAUUUUCUUGCUUUUUUUAAUGCACUUUUCGUUUAACAAGUCAGCAUCAGUUUCUUUUGUUGUAAAAAGGUCAUUGGAAGGUGGCUUUCUUUUCGGAGAAAGUGUUUAUAGCCUUUGACUCCUGCAAUCGGAGAGACUGAGGUCUGCAGCGUAGAUCCUUCGGGGUUAGAUACAUUUGUGCUAAGUUAUAGCUUUUUAUAGACAACUUGUUGACUAUGAUUAGUCUUGUAGCUUACUCGCUUAUGCUAUUUUACCUACGCUUAGGAUGUUGAACUCUAUCACACACA
rnacentral:rRNA from 1 species